rnacentral:rRNA from 1 species
UACGUAGGGUGCGAGCGUUAAUCGGAAUUACUGGGCGUAAAGCGUGCGCAGGCGGUGAUGUAAGACCGAUGUGAAAUCCCUGGGCUUAACCUAGGAACUGCAACUUAAACUGGUUAUCUAGAGUACUGUAGAGGGUAGUGGAAUUUCCGGUGUAGCGGUGAAUGCGUAGAGAUCGGAAGGAACACCAGUGGCGAAGGCGGCUACCUGGACAGAUACUGACGCUGAGGCGCGAGAGCGUGGGGAGCAAACAGG